UACGGAGGGAGCUAGCGUUGUUCGGAUAUACUGGGCGUAAAGCGCGUGUAGGCGGCUAUGUAAGUCGGGCGUGAAAUCCCACGGCUCAACCGUGGAAGUGCACCCGAAACUGCGUAGCUAGAGUCCUGGAGAGGAAGGUGGAAUGCUUGGUGUAGAGGUGAAAUUCGUAGAUAUCAAGCGGAACACCGGUGGCGAAGGCGGCCUUCUGGACAGUGACUGACGCUGAGACGCGAAAGCGUGGGGAGCAAACAGG
rnacentral:rRNA from 1 species